CUACCAUAGAGUUGCUGCAGGCCAUCGCGGUCAUCCUGAGACAGGCGGUACUUGUCAGGGUCGCCCACCGGACCCUGGUAGAAGGGCCUCAUAAUGGAGUUGGGGGCUGAGGAGUGGCCCAGGCCCAGGGCGUGGCCAAACUCAUGGACAGCCACGGCAAACAGCUCAGGUGCUCAGAACUGCCAGGACCCAGAGGAUUCACAUGCCAGCCCCGGCUGAAGCCCAGCUCCUCAUCAACCGGUGAGCCGCCUGCCAGCUCCUGCUUUGGCUGCCGAGAGGCCUGAAGUGACUAAGACAGAGACACAGCCCCGCAGCACCACAGGGAGGCCCCAAUUACCCCAUGCGGAUGAGUUUCAUGGCCACCUCUAACUAAGGAAAGGACAUCGAUGUCAUCUGUAACUUCCGGUGCACUGGGGCACACAGCUGCAUCUCCCCAUGCUCACCUCCUGCCUCUUGCUCUGCCCAGUGUGAGGACUUAGCCUGGAUCACCU
rnacentral:antisense_RNA from 1 species